UACGAAGGGUGCAAACGUUGCUCGGAAUUAUUGGGCGUAAAGCGCACGUAGGCGGCUUAGCAAGUCGGAUGUGAAAUCCCUCGGCUCAACCAAGGAAGUGCAUCCGAAACUGCUGAGCUUGAGUACCAAAGAGGAUCGCGGAAUUCCCGGUGUAGAGGUGAAAUUCGUAGAUAUCGGGAGGAACACCGGUGGCGAAGGCGGCAUCCUGGACCGGUAUUGACGCUGAGGAGCGAAAGCCAGGGGAGCAAACGGG
rnacentral:rRNA from 1 species